GUUCACGUAGCAUAAUUGGAUAAUGCACUCGCCUCCUAAGCGAAAGAUUGGAGGUUCAAUUCCUCUCGUGGACACCA
rnacentral:tRNA from 1 species